rnacentral:tRNA from 1 species
AUUUAUAUAGUUUAAAAAAAACCUUACAUUUUCACCGUAAAAUUAGAGAUUCUCUUAUAAAUU